ACUAGUAGACGGGACUUGUACCUGUAAUGAAUUCCAGAGCCUUAGCAUUCCAUGUGCCCAUGUGAUAGCAGCAGCAACAAGCAUUGGAAUUAGCAUGGAUAACUUUGUAGCACCGGCAUACUUUGAACACACGCUUCGACUUUCUUAUGCCGAGAAGAUUUAUCCUAUUCCAUCUGUCGGGGGACCCGAUAAUGCGUUUGGUACUGUAGGGGAUCUUAAUCCUCCUUUUGUGCGACGUCCACCGGGCAGGCCUAAGAAGAUUCAGAUCAAAUCUAAGGGGGAAUUCAAGCGCCCUCGUCAACAGUCUAACAGGAGGUGUUCCCGUUGUUGUCGCCCAGGCCACAACAAGGCUUCCUGUAAAAAUGCUAUAUAAGCAUUAGCAACAACCAUGGGUUUUAAUGAAGGUGUUCCAAAGAAGGUUUUUGGAGUGGGCAAAAUAAUGGUUACCGCAUCAAGUAUAGAUGCGAUGAUGUAUAUAUGCAGUGGCUGUGUAGUCCAAAGCUAUCACAAAAUACUCUGGUAUAUCCUAUCAUGGUAUAUACCAUAGUAUUUUGGAUGAUACGCUUAUCUAUCUAUCUCUAUGCAGUGUUGUAAAUAAGGUUGUGAUGCCCAAGAACACCAUGUUUUGAAGAUUGUAAUAUAUUAUAAACCCAGAAAUGGUUUAAUGUUA